rnacentral:rRNA from 1 species
GACGAACGCUGGCGGCGUGCUUAACACAUGCCAGUCGAACGGAAAGGCCCUGCUUUUGUGGGGUGCUCGAGUGGCGAACGGGUGAGUAACACGUGAGUAACCUGCCCUUGACUUUGGGAUAACUUCAGGAAACUGGGGCUAAUACCGGAUAGGAGCUCCUGCUGCAUGGUGGGGGUUGGAAAGUUUCGGCGGUUGGGGAUGGACUCGCGGCUUAUCAGCUUGUUGGUGGGGUAGUGGCUUACCAAGGCUUUGACGGGUAGCCGGCCUGAGAGGGUGACCGGCGACAAUGGGACUGAGAUACGGCCCAGACUCCUACGGGAGGCAGCAGUGGGGAAUAUUGCACAAUGGGCGGAAGCCUGAUGCAGCAACGCCGCGUGCGGGAUGACGGCCUUCGGGUUGUAAACCGCUUUCGCCUGUGACGAAGCGUGAGUGACGGUAAUGGGUAAAGAAGCACCGGCUAACUACGUG